rnacentral:rRNA from 1 species
CCUGGCCCAGAGCCCCAACGGAAUCUACACCGCCUGCUUAUCCCGCGCCCCCCGCGCCUGCCUCAAGCGCCAACUCCGAUUUCCAAAUCCCACGCAAAAACCCUCCACCGCAAUCUCCCUCUUUUUUCCAAACCUCAGAUCCCCCACCGCGCCGCGCCGCACAAUCGCCGUCUCCCUGCGGCGCCUGGAACCGAAGCGCCGCCGCAGGCCCGUCGGUCGCGGCCGGGGGAGCCGGGCCAUGCGGCGGCCCGGCGCUGCGCCGUUCGGAGGAAGUGCACCAAUAGCGCCGGAAAAUGCCUGAGCCCGACCGCAACUCCCUCAGCGCCGGCCGCGGCCAACACCGCGACGGGCUCAAGGGCUGGCCCGACCUCUGGCUGCUCCCCGGGAAGCCGCCGCACUCGCCCACCGCGGCCAUGGCCCCGCCGCCGCCGCCGCCGGACCGCGCCCCCGACCAAACCCUAGCCUUCUCGGACGAGCUCCUCCUCCGCGUCCUCGCCUACCUCCCGGAGCCCCACCUCACGGCCUCCGCCUCGCUCGUCUGCAAGAGGUGGAUGCGCCUCUCCGGCCGCCUGCGCCGCCGCCUCGCGGUGCGGGACUGGGCUUUCGUCACGCACCGCCUCCCCUACCGCUUCCCCGACCUGGCGGUCCUCGACCUGUUCCCGGCCUCCAUAGCCGCCCCGGCCGCGCCGUCUCGGGCCUCCCCCGUCCUCACCUGCGGCGCGGUCUCGCUAACCCUAGACCCCGGCGCCGACCCGCCGCUCGGCGCUUGCCGGUUCCUCGCCGACGAUGUGCUUGACAGGGGCCUCGCUGUCGUCGCCGCCAGGUUCCCUAACCUCCGGCGCUUAUCGGCCACAGCCGCGUCCGAGUCCGCUGGCCUCAUGGAUAUCGCCGGAGGCUGCGCCACUCUACAAGAGCUUGAGCUCCACCGAUGCACUGACCUUGCCCUCCGCCCGGUCUCUGCCUUUGCGCACCUCCAGAUCCUCCGCAUCGUCGCCGCGUCCUCGCCGCUGUAUGGCACCAGUGAAGAUGGCGGGGUAACUGACAUCGGCCUCACCAUCCUCGCCCAUGGCUGCAAACGGUUGGUUAAGCUGGAGCUUGUGGGUUGCGAGGGCAGCUACGACGGCAUAGCAGCUGUGGGACGGUGCUGUGCGAUGCUGGAGGAGCUCACCAUUGCUGAGCACAGGAUGGACGGCGGGUGGCUUGCUGCUCUAGCUUUCUGUGGCAACCUCAAGACCCUGCGGCUUCAGGGGUGUGCCAGGAUUGAUGAUGAUCCUGGGCCUGCUGAACAUCUCGGCGCCUGCCUCACGCUCGAGAGCCUGCAAUUGCAUCGGUGCCAGCUACGUGACCGCCACGCCCUCCAUGCUCUCUUUUUGGUCUGUGAGGGUGCUCGCGAGUUGCUGGUCCAGAAUUGUUGGGGCCUUGAAGACGACAUGUUUGCGUUGGCUGGCCUAUGCAGGAGAGUGAAAUUGCUGUCCUUAGAAGGCUGCUCAUUAUUAACAACUCGAGGUGUCGAAUCUGUAGUCACCUCAUGGAAUGAUUUGCAGAGUCUACAAGUUGUCGCGUGCAACAAAAUAAAGGACGAGGAAAUGACUGGUGCACUCUCAGAGCUUUUCUCUAAUCUCAAAGAGCUGAAGUGGAGGCCCGACAACAAAUCUCUCCUGGCGGCAAGCCUAGUGGGCACUGGAAUGGGAAAGAAGGGCAGAGUAUUUUUCAAAAGGAUUUUACCGGGCCAUCAACGAGUCAAGGGCAAGGUGCUCAACUAUCCAGCGGGUGUUGCUGCUUAGUCUGAUCGCUCUUUUGGUCCAGACAGAAUUUUACGUGCUGCUGCAAAAUUCGUAUACUUGGAGCUGGUGCAAAUUCUUCGGAUUUGGAUCAAAGUUCUUCAUUUUUGGAAGCUGGCACACCCAAGGGCAAUUGAGAUACCAACUGCCCAGAUUUGUGUUUUUGGCAGAGUUGUAACAAGCUGACACUACCCCAUGAGAGGUUCCUAACCAAUAUUUAUGUACGCUACAGAAUUUUUCUUUUAUAAGUUAUGGCAGAACUUGUUAGUUCCCGAUGAUGAAUCAGACGGAAGCACCAAAAGUGUUCGUGUUUUACGUCAAAUGACUUGACUGUUGAAUGGUUUUUGUUGCC